AUUGAACGCUGGCGGCAGGCCUAACACAUGCAAGUCGAACGAGUGGCGGACGGGUGAGUAAUGUCUGGGAACCUGCCUGAUGGAGGGGGAUAACUACUGGAAACGGUAGCUAAUACCGCAUACCAUCAGAUGUGCCCCGAUGGGCUUAGCUAGUUGGUGGGGUAACGGCUCACCAGGGCGACGAUCCCUAGCUGGUCUGAGAGGAUGACCAGCCAAACUGGAACUGGGACACGGACCAGAGUCCUAGGGGAGGAAGCAGUGGGGAAGAUGGCAAAAUGGGCGAAAGCCUGAUGCAGCCAUGCCGCGUGUAUGAAGAGGGCAUGCGGGUUGUAAAGUACUUUCAGCGGGGAGGCGUUACCCGCAGAAGAAGCACCGGCUAACUCCGUGCCAGCAGCCGCGGUAAUUC
rnacentral:rRNA from 1 species